rnacentral:misc_RNA from 1 species
UCUGUAUAUUUUUCUGGAGUCAUGGUCCGACUGAUGCUUGUACUUGCUCCGGCAGCAUGUAUCAUGUCUGGAAUUGCCCUUUCUGAAGCUUUUCAUGUUUUCACAAGAUCAAUUAAAUUUCAGCUACCUGGAUUACUGGGGAGCUCCCAAGUUGAUUCAGGGGAUGCUAGUUCAAUUGAUCUUGUGAAAAAGCACAAAAUGGCGCAGGAAAGGUUGAGAAAACUGAAGAUACAGCAAAAGAAC